UACAGAGGUCUCAAGCGUUUGUUCGGAUUCAUUGGGCGUAAAGGGCGCGUAGGCGGCCUUCUAAGUCAGACGUGAAAUCCCCCCGGCUUAACCUGGGAACUGCGUCUGAUACUGGAGGGCUUGAGUGCGGGAGAGGGAUGUGGAAUUCCAGGUGUAGCGGUGAAAUGCGCAGAUAUCAGGAGGAACACCGGUGGCGAAGGCGGGUCUCUGGGCCGAUACUGACGUGAGGAGCGAAAGCGUGGGGGAGCGAACAGG
rnacentral:rRNA from 1 species